CUCAAAGCAGGAGCUAGCAGAUGGCUGCAUCGUUAGCUGGUGGCCACAGCCUUAUGAGAUGAGUUUUGGAAUUUCCAUCAAAGUCGGGAUUAGGCUCAGGAUAUGCCGAUGGCACAGAGCACCGCGGGGGAGUGUGGAAGAAGAGGAAAUCAUUCAUAGCGACUCAUCUUGUGGUUGGUGAGGAAGUUUUCAGCUGGUGAUUUAUCAACUAAGUAUUUUACAGGAUCAUAGUUAAAAGCUCUUAAAAAAAAAAUAUGUCCUGUGCGAUAGGGAAAGUAAAAGCAUCUCGGUUUCCAAAUGCUGAAGGAAUAACCGAAAGAGCUAGUUCUUGGAAUAGUAGCUCCAUUGGCACUCGUUGGUGAUUUCCUGUGCAUUUGCUGCAAGAAUCACUCUGUGAUGUGAGUAGGUGGUACUAAAGGGUUAUUACGAAACCGAUUUUCAACCAGACGUUUUGAGUCAUGGAUCGGGAAGAGGGAUAGCAGCUUCAGAGCUUUCUCUUUGUUCGAGCAGUGCGCCUGAAAUGCACACGCAGGAUAUUUUGUGCUUGCAUGGAACAAGGCAGACUGGGGAUAGGUCUGGUAUUACAUGAAGUGCCCUUCUUCGUGCCACUCCAUCUCAAGGAUGGGAAACGAGAACGUGGGCUGAGAGCCGGCAGCAGUGUGCAAGGUGCACAAGGAGCAGUUUCCUGACUGUCUUUCAAUUAUUCAGAAGACGUCUGUGAGCAUACGGGUAUGACUAGCAAAGGAGAGACGGUUCUAGUACCUGCUGCCUGUGGGAUUUAUUUUGUGCCAGGAAGGAGCUGAGGUGCUGACUACUGAAUAACACCUAAACUUUAUUUCUGAUGCUUCUCCUGAUAAUGCAUUGGUAAGUUUAUGUACUUCUCAUUUUCAGUGCUAAGAUGGUAUCUUGCUAAAUGUAAUUGAAAGAAAGCUCUUUAACAGCUUUAUGAACAUGGCAAGGUGUAUUCAUUUUUUCACUGGAGCAGCUUUUACAGAAAACACUAGCUGGCCUGCUGCAGUUCAGGAGUCUGUAAAUAACGGGGGAAACUUUGUCGAUCAGGUCGACAAAAACAAUUUAAAAUUGCUGUUCCCUCCCACCUUUAAGCUACAAACCUCUGCUAACAUUGGUACUAAGCAAAGAGGAUGGGCCAGCCCUCCAGCUUUGGGAUCCUGUCGUCCUGGAGUCACGGCUACGCUGUAAUUUUCCUGUUACACUUUACUGAAUGAACAAGACUUGGGUCUUGUGGAAUUUCACACGAGAAUCAGAUGUCCAUUCCUGGAAUUAAAUCUAAUGAUACUUUUCCUAAAAUAUGCCUAGAAUAGGAAUGAUGUUAUUUUUAAGUGGCUCUGUAAAUCGCAAGAAAAAAGGUACCAAUUAGUGGUUUCUCAAAAAACCCCAAUCAUUAACAUACUGUUGGCUAGAAGAAAUCACGUUGGCUGACGGAGCUAGGUCUGGAAGUCGUGCUCCCUGAAUCUGCUGUCAAUUCUGCCACUGGUUUUGGGAGGGAUUUUUUGGAGGGGGUGCUUCUUGGGCAAGUCAUUAUUUAUUCUUAGUUGUCGAUAAAAUGAGGAUAGUGUUAUUUAACUUUUCCUUCGGUGCUUUACUUGGAUGCUGAUACGUGGUACUGUAGCUCUUGGAUCUCUAGAAUAUUGUUUUGAAUGCAUAGGUUAUUGGAAGUUGGGGAAAGCAAAAUAGUGAUUAUUGAAUUUAUCAUGCUCUGUGACAGGUCCUCUCUAGACACCAGCUGUAGGAGUUGCUGGUGCUGUGUCCUAACCGUCCACCACGAAGGGAGGAAUUCACUGCUGCUGUUCUUCCCUGGGUGGGUGACGCUGGGACGCCUUGCGUUCCCAAACCCGCUUGAGUUGGGAGUUGUAGUAAGGUGCUCAUGGAUAUUUUUUCCCUCUUUUCCGAAACAGCAACCGAGAAGGCAGUCCGUGCACCACACGUCCCUACGGAACUGCAAAUAAACCCAGUGGUUAAGAGAAAAAAAAAAAAAGGAAGGUUUAGCAUUGUACUGGAUUUCCUUGUCUUAAGUGCUUCCUUCGGAUCUUGGGAGAAGAGCUCAAGCACGGGGUGACUUUCUAGCGAGCAGUUGUACCAAAAGGCGUGGGAGGCCGGGUCAGGGAAGAGUCAUUUGGUUGUUAUGUGGGUGUGAAAAGCCUAUGAAAAGGAAAGGGCGGAGGAAAAUAUUUUACUUGAAUUAAACAAAUAAAGGAGAAUGUUAUAUGAAUUAGGUAUUCGAAGUUAGAUUUUUGACAGGUAUUUUUGUGAAUUAACUGCAUAUCUUCUGAAAAUCAUUUAUUUAACCAUAAGCUUAUCAAAAUGUUCUCAGGAGGGACUUGUUAAAAAAAAAAAAAGGCAA